rnacentral:rRNA from 1 species
UCUUGGUCAUUUAGAGGAAGUAAAAGUCGUAACAAGGUUUCCGUAGGUGAACCUGCGGAAGGAUCAUUAACAAAUUACAACGUUUGUUGAAACACACUCUGCGUAUCUUUACAUGUUGCUUCCCCCCGCCCUGGGCUAGCUUCCGGGACGGGGGGGAGGGAGCCCCAAACCCGUGCAAUCGAUGUGAUCGGUCUGAAGAAAAACCUGUUUGCAUUCAAACGUUUAAAACUUUCAACAACGGAUCUCUUGGUUCUCCCAUCGAUGAAGAACGCAGCGAAAUGCGAUAAGUAGUGUGAAUUGCAGAAUUCAGUGAAUCAUCGAAUCUUUGAACGCACAUUGCGCCCUCUGGCAUUCCGGGGGGCAUGCCUGUUCGAGCGUCAUCAAAACCACUCAGGCCGCGCUUCUUCGAAGCCCCAGCUUGGUCUUGGGCCUGAGGGUAUCAGAACCCUCUGCCUGCAAUGCAGUGGGCGGAUAUUCCGGCACGGGCAAGAGCGUGAUAAACACAUCGUUCGCGAUUGCACGCCGGGAAGGUCCCGCCAUCAUGAACCCCCGAAUCCAUUUUCAAGUUUGACCUCGGAUCAGGUAGGGAUACCCGCUGAACUUAAGCAUAUCAAUAAGCGGAGG